UACGUAGGGGGCAAGCGUUGUCCGGAAUCAUUGGGCGUAAAGAGCGCGUAGGCGGCCCAGUCAGUCCGCUCUGAAAGUCAGGGGCUUAACCCCUGAAUGCGGGUGGAUACUGCUGGGCUAGAGUCCGGAAGAGGCGAGUGGAAUUCCUGGUGUAGCGGUGAAAUGCGCAGAUAUCAGGAGGAACACCGGUGGCGAAGGCGGGUCUCUGGGCCGAUAUUGACGCUGAGGAGCGAAAGCGUGGGGAGCAAACAGG
rnacentral:rRNA from 1 species